rnacentral:miRNA from 1 species
AUAUCUUCUUCUUCUUCUCA